rnacentral:misc_RNA from 1 species
GAUGAAGAACGUAGCGAAAUGCGAUAAGUAAUGUGAAUUGCAGAAUUCAGUGAAUCAUCGAAUCUUUGAACGCACAUUGCGCCCGCCGGCACUCCGGCGGGCAUGCCUGUCCGAGCGUCAUUUCAACCCUCGGGCCCACCCUUCGCGGGGAACGGGCCCGGCGUUGGGGACCGGAGGCCGCCUCGGCGGCACCCGCCCCCUAAAUUCAGUGGCGGUCGCGCCGCAGCCUCCCCUGCGUAGUAGCACACCUCGCACCGGAGAGCGGCACGGCCACGCCUCGAAACCCCCCAAUUUUUUCAGGUUGACCUCGGAUCAGGUAGGAAUACCCGCUGAACUUAAGCAUAUCAAUAAGCGGAGGA